ACACAGACUGAGCUGGAUGGGGAGGAGAGGAAUCUGUGAAAUCUGAGAGGAACCAGGAGAGAUCUAAAAGGCAAAUUGUCUAGGAUGUUGUCUUUGUAAGAAACAUUCAGAUGAAUCAUGGCGCUUCAAAAGGUUCUGGAUGAAUGUACUUAUCAGGAUAUACCCUUGAGGCGAAACAACGAGAGAAAUAUAUAAGAACUAAUAUGUCUUAAGAAAAUAAAAUAACUGGAGGAAUGCAAAGGAAGGAACCAGCGUCUUUCUGGGACUAUUACAAGAUUUGAAGACUGGUUGUGUGGAAGAAUUGGCCGAAAUCCCACCAAAACAAUUCGUGCCACUAGAUUCACCAUACAGGGGGCGCCUUGAAGCUGUCAUUACCAUUAAAGGCUUUUGUACAUAGUAUUAAAUAAACAUCAG